GCCCGAAUGUACCUCCGGAUACAGACGUGUCAUCCACCCACCCAUUUGCUUCCCCUCUGCAGCUCUGCUCUGUUUGCUUACUCUUCCCUUCCAUGGCGGCAUACGCCGGAACCCUAGUUCCACCCUUCCUCACCGUCCGCCUCGCGGUCUCCCACCUCAGAUCCAUUACCCCGGGGUCCUACUCCCUGAGCCACUGUCUCCCCCGCCUCGCGGUCGCCCGUGCGGCCUCCCGCGGAAACGGAGACGGCGACGGCGGGCCUCCAGCGGAGGGGGAGAAGGAGCGCCGGCGCUCGUCACUCCCAGCGCUGUCGGAGAUCCGGUGGGGGGAGCUGCUAUCCCCGGACCCCACCAACGCCGUGGCUGUGGUGCUCACGGGCGCGCUCGUAUGGGCUGGCGCCUCACUGCUGCUGCAGCUCGCGCUCAUCUCCGCGGCAAUCUUUGCCGCCGCUGUCAAGUACUCGUUUGUCGCCGCGCUCCUGUUAUUCGUCCUUAUCGCGCUGCUGUGAUCGAUCCGCCUUAAGGAAAAAAGCUGUAAAUUCGCACGAAGCAUUCGGAUGGAAGAUCAGGUAGAGGAAAAAACAGAGGAUUUCAAAUGUUUCCAUUUUUGUAUGGAGCAGUAGAAAAUAUUUGUCUGCCAGUGCCAACUGCCAAGUGCUUAAAAUUUUUCUGCACACUGAGAUAUUUGGAUUGCAAAUUAGUCUCAGCAAACAGGGGAUACCUAAGAAGAACAACCAGAAUAAAGUGCUGUUCAAUUCAAAUGUUUAUUCAAUAUACAAACGUGCUAUCUGAAACCAGAAUGAUGAAAAUAUCAAUACAUGGGUGUCUUACAGACAAACACACCAAAUAACAUCAACACCAGUUAUUCCAGAAUGACUAUAUUGUAGAUUAGAAACUCUCAUUUGUGUUGUAAUGCAUCAAAUAUGAAGACCUAGAAAAGACCAACGACAACGACGAUGAAGCUUUUUCUGGUAUCAACCUAGCCAAUGGAGAUGAAACCAGAAAAGACCAAUCUGUUGUUUAUAAAUUCAUUGUGCUCAUUUUCCUGGCAGUAAAAAAUGAGCUUGUCAGUUACCUGUACCAUUAGCAUCUUCUACUUUUCUAAUGAAAGUAUGACCUUUAUUUGCAAUCAAAUGGAGAGUGUGAUCUGCCCCUUGUAAAAUUUGCAAUCAAUGAAGAGUAUGAUCUGCCCCUUAUAAAUGUGGAGUUUGUUUUGGUAGGUACUACCUUUUGAAGUUGGGUGGUUUUCAAUAAAGCCUGAAUUUAGGAUUCAGUUUUGUAAUUUAUAUCUUCCUCCUUAUUGCAGGUUUAAAAUUUUAAUUUGUAGUUCAUGAUAGCUAUGCAUGGACACAAUAAUAUGUAAGACUAAGUAAUGACCAUUUGCCAAGGGAAUACUGCAAACUGUCUAUCUAAGUAUCUAUUGUUACCUUCUGUUGGAGAACUUCGUUUGCUGCUUUCAGGAUGCAUUCCUGUAUACAUAAAAAAUAUUACCUGACAUUGAAAGCUCGGGAUUUUUUUCUCGAAAGCGCAAGAGAGCUGCGCGAAAAUAUAUUAAGAAGGAGAUAAAGGUCCAAAAGGACCCCAAGAUACCAAAAUAAAGCUCGGGAUUUUGAAAUUGCCUUUUAAUAAUUUAAUGUAGUUAACAUAUUUCCUGCCUAAAUCUGUUUUUUAAAUUUGUGCCUGCAGUUUAUGCUAUUAUGUAAGUUGAGAAUUUCAUUUCCGAGAAAUAUUGCAAAAUACCUUCUGUUGAAGAAUUUUAUUUGCUGAUUUAAGUAUGCUUUCCUGCACAUCAAGAAAAUGUAUUGUUAUCUUCUAUUUUACUUCUGUCACAGACCCCCUUUUUGUUAUCAAGGAAGAUUAUGAGACAUUGAUACUGACCUUAUUUUUAAGAAAGUGAAUUUCUUGCUGCAUGAUCUGCAUCUGGUAAAAGAUGUCUCACAUUAGUUUGUUGUGUAAUCUGAACGAGUUUAGAAAUAAGAAGGGGGAUACAGUUGUCUUGCCUUUGUGGAACAUGUCCGGUAAUACCACAAUUCAAGACCUUUCUCAAGCACAUGCAUUCUCUCCAGUCUCAUGUCCUCUGUUCCCCCUCCAGUGGAUCUGCUUUGAUUCAUGUGUCAGUUUUUUUAUAUGUUAGAUGGUUCAUCAUGUCUGGUAGUCUAAAUGCCUCAUUAAAUCGUAUUUUAAUUCAAAAGUUUCUUGAUUAUUAGAAUAGGAAGUUUCGUGAUUGUUCUAACAGUUAGAGCUAAUACACAAGUGUGGAUGUUAUUUCUGUUUUGCUAGUAUUAACUUCCUGUUGUUGAGUAUCUUGGUGAUGUUUACUACUCCCUUGGUCCUGAUAUAUAAGGCGUAACCACCUCUGAUUCAAUUACCAAGGAACAUAUUUAAUUUCCUCUCUCAACACUAGUACUACUGCAUCGAUUUACCGACAUCUAGAGACAGAGAGAGUAUCCCUUGUAUUAUAAAAGCGGUUUCACAUUAUAUAUUAAGACGAAGGGAGUAGUCUACUUGGCUUUACCAUGUAGGAAGUGUUUCAAAACUCUUUUAUUGCCCAUUGAAACACUUGACUGCAAUAGUAGACAGUAGUAUACCAGUAAGGCCCUAUAUACCUAACAGUCAGUUCUAAGGUUUUUCUGUUUCAAUUAUUUGUGCAGCAAUUGAGAGAUUGAAAACAAAGUGCCACAAUUAAAGGCUUCAUACAGCUUUGUCAGCAUUUUUUUUGAUUGGCCUCGCAGAUUUAAUUUGCAGAGGUGGCACUCGUGGCAAACAGACACUGACUUUGCUUUCCUCUGAAGCCGAAUACACAUGCAUUGACAUGGCCUGCUUUUAUAUAGCAAUCCACCUUGUAAGAAAUAUGACCUUUGGGUUACUUGCAUAGCUGUGGGCCGCCCCACAUGAAACUAUGAAAGCAUCUCGCUGGCCACUGUACAUCUUUAUUUAAGCUCUGUAAAUUCUUAUGAAUAUUGUAAUAUGAUAUAGUUUGUAUACUUGUGUUAUGAUUAAGUGAACUCAUCUUGUAAGAUCCUGUUCGGCUGUUCCUGCGUGUAAGGAGAAUUUGUUGUUAUUGCUUACCUUGAACAUAACGGCAUGUGAUGUUUAAUAGUCA